rnacentral:rRNA from 1 species
UACGUAGGGUGCAAGCGUUAAUCGGAAUUACUGGGCGUAAAGCGUGCGCAGGCGGUUUUGUAAGUCUGACGUGAAAUCCCCGGGCUCAACCUGGGAAUUGCGUUGGAGACUGCAAGGCUGGAGUCUGGCAGAGGGGGGUGGAAUUCCACGUGUAGCAGUGAAAUGCGUAGAGAUGUGGAGGAACACCGAUGGCGAAGGCAGCCCCCUGGGUUAACACUGACGCUCAGGCACGAAAGCGUGGGGAGCAAACAGG